UUGUCUCAAAGAUUAAGCCAUGCAUGUCUCAGUACAAGCCACACUAAGGUGAAACCGCGAAAGGCUCAUUAAAUCAGUUAUGGUUCCUUAGAUCGUACCCACAUUUACUUGGAUAACUGUGGUAAUUCUAGAGCUAAUACAUGCAAACAGAGCUCCGACCGGAGACGGGAGGAGUGCUUUUAUUAGAUCAAAACCAAUCGGCGGCGGUGGCGUUCGCGUCGCCGUUCGCCGCUCAACCUGGUGACUCUGAAUAACUUUCCGCUGAUCGCACGGUCUCGCACCGGCGACGCAUCUUUCAAAUGUCUGCCUUAUCAACUGUCGAUGGUAGGUUCUGCGCCUACCAUGGUCGUAACGGGUAACGGGGAAUCAGGGUUCGAUUCCGGAGAGGGAGCCUGAGAAACGGCUACCACAUCCAAGGAAGGCAGCAGGCGCGCAAAUUACCCACUCCCGGCACGGGGAGGUAGUGACGAAAAAUAACGAUACGGGACUCAUCCGAGGCCCCGUAAUCGGAAUGAGUACACUUUAAAUCCUUUAACGAGGACCCAUUGGAGGGCAAGUCUGGUGCCAGCAGCCGCGGUAACUCCAGCUCCAAUAGCGUA
rnacentral:rRNA from 1 species